rnacentral:lncRNA from 1 species
GCUUUGGCUCAAUUUCCAUUAUAAUAUUGAUUCGUUAAAAUAUGAAAAGACAAAACAUUCACGUAUGAAUAUUUACUAUUUUACAUAUAAUAUGAUAUUUUAAUAGUAUUUCAAUUGAGUUGAUGUUCAAUUAAUUGGUGACAUCAACUCAGCUAAAAUUUAAUAUAAAUAUAGAAAUGGUAAGCAACAAUCUUUUUCCUCUUUUCUUGUAAUUUCCAAAUACUUAAGAGGGUUUGAAUAUGAAAUUAAUCCAUUUUCAACAAUGCAUUAAAUUGAAAAGGGGAAAAAGAAAAGGAAUUGUUAAGGUCGAAUGAAAGGAAAAUGUAUAUGUAAAUGCCUAAAUUUGACCGGGCCCAACAAGCCUAAAUCAGACAAAAGCAAAGCCAAGCAAAAAAUAAAUAAUUAAAUGUCCACAAGUCCAAAUUACAUAACCCAAUUUUAAACCCAAAACAUUACAAACUCAAACCCAAAUUUAAAACCCAAAACCGAAUUAACCCUAGCCCAAUACCCAAUGGCCCAACAAAUAAUAUUAACCUAGACCCAAAAAUAGAGCCCGAUAGGCCCAAUCCUUUAAAAGUUCUUGGAAACCCUAACCCUAACCCCAUUCGCUUGGCGUCGCAGCAGCCUCCAGCACUACCAUCGCUCGUGCCUCGGUACGCCGUACACCUCCACGUACCUGCAAGAAAACAAAAGGGAUAACUCAACAGACAAGAGAACAACAAAUGGAAACAAAAACAGAGGAAUAAAAAAAAGGGGCUAGUAUUUUCAUUUUUGAUUAUUGUUUGGCUAUAAAGCCAAAAAACAUUUUCAUUGUAAUGGACACACGCACACUUCGCAUAUUGUAAUACAGAAAAAGGCUAUCAAAAUCGAAAGGUGAUUUCCGAUUUAAAUCUUCGGGCAUUUUCUUUUUUUUUUUCUUUUUUCGGUUUCAUUCUUUGGUUUUUGUUGAUCUUUUUUUCUAUUCGAAGGCAUGAAUAAAAAGAAAAUGAGGGUUUACCUUUGCGAAAACGCAUUGGGGUCCUCCUUCGUCGAAGUCGAAGCUGAGAUGGGAUCUCAGGGUUGAAAUCGGCCUUGAGUCAUGGCUUAAGCAGAAAUAGGAGGGGCCCUCACACGAUCCACCGAUAAUAAUGGUGGAGUGGUGGUCAAACGGCGGGGAACCGAAUAGGAAGAGGCCUUAGGUUUUUUUUUCUUUCUUCUUUUUUUUUAAAAAAAAUGGUUUAAGUGCUCAAGCUUUUAGGUUUUUUUUUCCUUUUAUAUAUAUCAUAAAACGGCGUCGUUUUAAGCCGUGAAUAUUGGCUUUGAAACGGCAUCGUUUCACUAUGCAAACCCAAUGACCCAACCAGAUGCAAUCAGAUCCGCGUGUUUUGGGUCUUUGAGGGUUAUUUUCUUGAUCAGUCCUUCUUUUUUCGCGCUACCAUUCAAUUACAUGUUAUUUGUUGAUUUCAUUUUUAAUUUAGCCUGGCAAUUUGCACACAUUUGCAAUUGGAUCUGCGCAUCAAUACAGUGUUUUGGGGAUCUGGAAUAUUUCUAGCUUUAGUCCCUAUACAUUUGCACACAUUAUGCGGUGGUUCUCAUUUUAAUUUCAAAAAUUUAUUUCAUUUGUAAAUUAUCCCUCUUGUUUUAAUUUUUUUUAAUUAGGUUUUUUUUUU